rnacentral:rRNA from 1 species
UACGUAGGGAGCAAGCGUUGUCCGGAAUGACUGGGCGUAAAGGGUGUGUAGGUGGUUUGGCAAGUUAGAAGUGUAAUACCUAGGCUUAACUUAGGUGCUGCUUUUAAAACUGUUAGACUUGAGUGCAGUAGAGGUUAGUGGAAUUCCUAGUGUAGCGGUGGAAUGCGUAGAUAUUAGGAGGAACACCAGAGGCGAAGGCGGCUAACUGGACUGUAACUGACACUGAGACACGAAAGUGUGGGGAG